GGAAUGUUGUCUGGCUCGAGGACAUUUAAUUCUAUGCAUCCAUCCAUCCAUCCAUUUACAUCUCCAGAUCUGGACUACUUGGAUUAAUUUUGAGUUAGUGUCGUCGGACCAGGCUUCAUUCCCC
rnacentral:pre_miRNA from 1 species